UUCUGACGAAGACAAGCCACAACGCAAACUGCUUGUCCCGGUCGAUAUUGGAUUCUGGCACCCUUCAGCUUGGCAUUACUUCUCAACUGGGACAUAGUCGAGAAAAUUUCCAUUCCGAAAAGAUCCCAAACUGACAGGACUCGAACCCACAACCCUCAGCUUGGUCUUGUUGAAUAGCUGCACGUUCACCGCUACGACUAUCUGGGCCCCUACCCCAUUGGAGCGUAUUUUCCACAGGCAAGGGCGGCACUUUUCAAUCGACUUCAACGAAUGAAUGUCGAUGGCGUCACUUUGUUCGGGAAUCGAUCAGACGGAGAUGAGGUGCUUUCUUCUGCCGUGUCUCGGACGAGAAGCAAGCGAGUUGAAUGGAACGAGAUGGAACACGGUAAUCAAAUUUUCUUUGCCGGAAGAAUCGUCACGCUGGAAAACGGCAUGGAAGAAGUCAAUUGAAAAUUGAUUUGGCGAUAACGGUUUCAACAGUUAGGUGAUAUUUCCCGAUGGUUUCCUGGGAAGAAAAUUCAGUUCAAUGUGGUUUGUGGUUUCGAAUUUGUAAUAAAGAAGCUGUUAUCGAGAUGUCGUUGCCAAAAA